GAUGCUUAACCAAUUGAGCCAGCGAGGUACCCCAGUCACGACCCUCGUUAAUUGCUCUUUGAUAAAGAUUUUUGUUAAGUUUUGCACGAGUUAAUUUUUAAAACGGGGCUCUAAAUGCUUCCUCAGUGAUAGCUUUUCACAAUACUUUCAGCAAACUUUACUGAGUGUGCAAAAUGGACAGAUUUACAUCCCAAGAAAAAACAAAAAGGGCUCUGAGAAUUUUGAACGCAAAAUAUUUCAAUUGUAACGAGGACUUGUUUUUAUACUAUAAACCUCCAGGAAGAAAAAGAUCAACGUCUUCUAAAAGAAGGUGAGAAUCAGCUGUGUUGAGGCUUCUCCUUUGCUUUCUAAAAAUGGACGAGUCCUUCCAAGGUUUCGAAGGAAGCAGAUCAGAACGUAAGAAUUUUGAAGACUUCUUCGUACCAGGAACGGGCAGACCUUCUUUAGGGUCCAGGGACUUGACUAGACUUAGAACAGAGGUGUAACACAAAUCAACAGUGAGAAAAUGGGAAUGGGAAAUUCUGGUAUUAAAGGACAUGGGGUUCUUUCUUUUUGAAACGUAGACCCCAGAAUCAGAUAUCUGGGCUGUGGAUUCCACUGUGGUGUCUGUGAACUCUCAAUACUUCUUUCUGCUACUCUCUUCUGCUUCUGCAACGUCCCUGACACCAAGAAAUGUAUGUCCCUAUUACUUGUGUCUUUUCCUUAAUCUGGGUUGUAGCAUUUAAUUUAGGAAAAUAGGGAUUAGGAGGCCCAGAGUGGUUAGUGGACUGGCCCAGGUCCCACAACUGUUGAGGGGUGGUGUGGGAUUCCUCCUGGGCUCUCUCAGACACGGCUUCUGCCUGACCGUGGAGGACGCCACCCCAGAGCAGCGUUGGGACAGACCCAGCCCCCUGCACCUGUGUGGCCAUUUUGUCGGGCUACCUGGGUUUUCUGAGGUUCGGGGGCUCAGGAGGCCCCUGCCCCCUCUCCAGCCCUUCCUUCUGGACAAAAGUGUGUCUGCCAGUCGUGACUCGAGGGUCCCAGCUAAGGUUGCACUGCAGAGCAGGGGCUGAGGCUCCCGGGCCACGCCUGGGCCCAGAACCUUUCUGCCAGGCGCUUUCUUUACGGAAGUCCCUGAGAUCCUUGGUCAGAAAACCAAGGGUGAGCAAGCCUUCCUCUUUCAAGAUAGCCCUCUCCGCUGCCCAGAAGGCCAAGACAGAGGGAAAAACUGUAGCAGAAAGGGCCUGACAUGUCACAUUCAUGGUCCUGGCCUUGCUUUUUUUAGAAAAGGAGCUCUUUCCCAUGGUUAGGGGAGAAGUCAGACUUUUUCCGGUUCCUCUUGGGCUGGACAUGAAGCAAUCUUCAGGCCUGAUGUUGACACCAGGUCAACCCCCGCCCCCCCCAGACCUUCUCUCUGGGCCUGGCUGCUUGGACUUCUGGGCUCUGACCUUGGCAGCAAGAAAAUGACCCACUGGCCAGGGGUUCCGUGCCAGCAACAACCGUGCAGGGCCUUAGAAGAGACAGAGCAGAGCGGGACAGCAGCAGAGACCCACAUGGGUUGACGUGGCCCCCAACUCCACGGCACGCUGACCAGGAAGCCCCGGACAAGAGAGAGCCCAGCAAAUCAACAGAGCCUUGCGACUGCCCUGCAUGCUGGAUGUUGCUGAGAAGCAAGUGGAUGGGAAGCCGCGACACGAGGCACCAAGAUGCUGAGAAGCUAUUCUGAGAGGUGACUGCGUUAGUGACUGGCAUAGCCAGAGCUCGAACCCAGCAGUCCAGCCCCAGAGCCCAAGCUCUCAGACGCUGGGCUUCCCAGCCACCUGUGCACCCUGCGGACACACGAGUAUCUGCAUCUCGAUCAUCACGUGAAUAUACUUCUCUUACCAGUAGUCAUGUGAAUAUACACUCAUCGAACAGCAUGUAAAAAUAACAGACAAAGGUCAAAUAAUAACCAACUGCCUGCAAUCCAAAAUGGAGAGACAAUGUGACCCUGCUUUAAAUUAUUUUUAAUAUCUCAUUUCUCCAGCUAAGUCAUGAUGCGGGAUCCAUUGUCUCCUGCGUGAUUGUAGUUCUCCAGAGAGGUGAUGGAGUAUGGGUCAGUGGCACAGAGCUUGCCGAAAUCCUAGCUCUGUUCCUUAUCAGCUCUAUGAUUCUGGGUAAGUCAAACUCUUUCUAGCAACACUGUCAUUGUGCCAACUGUGUGCCCCCAGAUCCCUUUACUGUUUUUUCGUACACACCGGCCGGUAGCCAACACGUAUGCCCUCUGGCUGCAGAAGUUGCCCGAGCCUGCGUGCAUGGAGAACUGGAGCUGAACGUGACCACUGGCCACAGGGGGUAUAUCUUCUGUAGCUGGUCCCCCAAUUAGGACAACACUGAGGUGUGACGACGCUGUUGGAGAGAUUCCCUGGGGUCUGAGCCAGACUCAGCCUGCAGGGGUCCUCUGCUUCAGUGUGCACCCGUGCUGACCUCGGUGUUUCUCGUUGCUAUUUCUUACUACCUGCGGAUGCUUUCUUCCUGGGAACGCUUUCAACCAGACAAACCGAAACCGAUAGACCUGCUACAAAGUGCCUGGCCAAUACUCUUCAAAAAUGUCAAGGUUGAGAAAGACCAAGAAAGAUUUAGAUGACAUUUCCACUUAAAAGAGACUAAAGAGUUGCGAUGAUUAAAUGUAACACAUAAUCCUGGAUGGGAUCUUGAACCAGGAAGAAUAAAUAGCUUAUAAAAGACAGUAUUGGGAUGAUCGACCACAUCUUAAUAUGGGCUGCACGAGUAGUAGCAUGGAAACAAUGCUAAAUUUUGUGUUUUUGAUCACUGCACCAUGAUUGUAUAAAAGAAUGUUCUAGUGCUUAGGACGUACACAGCGACAUAUAUAGCAAUAAAGGUACACGAUGUCUCUAA